rnacentral:tRNA from 1 species
GGCCCGGUGGCUCAGUUGGUUAGAGCGCCGCCCUGUCACGGCGGAGGUCGCGGGUUCGAACCCCGCUCGGGUCG